CAGUCGAGCGCGAAUAGGGGCAACCCUUAGUAGAGCGGCGCACGGGUGCGUAACACGUGGAUAAUCUGCCUGGAUGCUCGGGAUAACCAGUCGAAAGAUUGGCUAAUACCGGAUAAGCCCACGGUUUCUUCGGAGACUGAGGGAAAAGGUGGCCUCUGUAUACAAGCUAUCACAACCAGAUGAGUCCGCGGCCCAUCAGCUAGUUGGCGGGGUAAUGGCCCACCAAGGCGACGACGGGUAGCUGGUCUGAGAGGACGAUCAGCCACACUGGAACUGAGACACGGUCCAGACUCCUACGGGAGGCAGCAGUGGGGAAUUUUGCGCAAUGGGCGAAAGCCUGACGCAGCAACGCCGCGUGUGUGAUGAAGGUCUUUGGAUUGUAAAGCACUUUCGACCGAGAAGAAAACCCGUUGGCUAACAUCCAACGGCUUGACGGUAUCGGGAGAAGAAGCACCGGCUAACUCUGUGCCAGCAGCCGCGGUAAUACAGAGGGUGCAAGCGUUGUUCGGAAUUAUUGGGCGUAAAGCGCGUGUAGGCGGCGUGACAAGUCGGGUGUGAAAGCCCUCAGCUCAACUGAGGAAGUGCGCCCGAAACUGUCGUGCUUGAGUGCCGGAGAGGGUGGCGGAAUUCC
rnacentral:rRNA from 1 species